rnacentral:rRNA from 1 species
AGUGAACGCUGGCGGUAGGCCUAACACAUGCAAGUCGAACGGCAGCACAGUAAGAGCUUGCUCUUACGGGUGGCGAGUGGCGGACGGGUGAGGAAUACAUCGGAAUCUACUUUUUCGUGGGGGAUAACGUAGGGAAACUUACGCUAAUACCGCAUACGACCUACGGGUGAAAGCAGGGGAUCUUCGGACCUUGCGCGAUUGAAUGAGCCGAUGUCGGAUUAGCUAGUUGGCGGGGUAAAGGCCCACCAGGGCGACGAUCCGUAGCUGGUCUGAGAGGAUGAUCAGCCACACUGGAACUGAGACACGGUCCAGACUCCUACGGGAGGCAGCGGUGGGGAAUUUUGGACAAUGGGCGCAAGCCUGAUCCAGCCAUCCCGCGUGGGUGAAGAAGGCCUUCGGGUUGUAAAGCCCUUUUGUUGGGAAAGAAAAGCAGCAGGUUAAUACCCCGCUGUUCUGACGGUACCCAAAGAAUAAGCACCGGCUAACUUCGU